CCUACGGGUGGCUGCAGUGGGGAAUAUUGGGCAAUGGGCGCAAGCCUGACCCAGCAACGCCGCGUGAAGGAAGAAGGCUCUCGGGUUGUAAACUUCCUUUAAGAGGGAAGAGCAGAAGACGGUACCUCUUGAAUAAGCCACGGCUAACUACGUGGCAGCAGCCGCGGUAAUACGAAGGUGGCAAGCGUUGUCCGGAUUUACUGGGUGUAAAGGGCGUGCAGCCGGGAAGACAAGUCAGUUGUGAAAGCCCGCGGCUCAACCGCGGAACUGCAUUUGAAACUGUUUUUCUUGAGUACCGGAGAGGUCGUCGGAAUUCGUGGUGUAGCGGUGAAAUGCGUAGAUAUAAGGAAGAACACCGGUGGCGAAGGCGGAUGACUGGACGGCAACUGACGGUGAGGCGCGAAAGCGUGGGUAGCAAACAGGAUUAGAUACCCGGGUAGUC
rnacentral:rRNA from 1 species